UCUUUGCUAGUAUAUCGGUUAGUACACGCGCCUGUCAUUAAUGAUGCACUCCCUUCGCGCGAAAGCUGGGUUCGACUCCCAGGCAAAGAG